rnacentral:ncRNA from 1 species
GAAAGGGCGUGUUAUAAACAUGCCUGGGCUGGGAUAUCGGUGUAUUUUCGCCGGUAGGACAAGGUGGAAGCGUCCGCAGCCUCAAUUAGA